UCAAUAUGUAUGUAAUAUUUAACAUGUAACAACUUUGAUCAAAAGGCACGUCUCAUGCUACCCUCAAUUGAAUUUAACUUGUAUGUAUUGCAAAAUCCAAAGCAUCACUCAUGGGUCUCACCUUGCCUUUUAGCCUCCCUCGCCACACACCAAAUUAUCUCCGGCUAUCCGUCCCUCUUCUUCUCCCAUAUUCUCGCUGCGUGAUCACCAGCAGUUGCAGCACCCAUCUAAUUAUAUAUCUAUAGUUUCAAACGGCCUCUAGUUCUUCUUCGAUCUUCUAAUUCUCACCAGCAUAAACCAGUAACAAAACCCCCUCAGAAGUCGUUUUGGUUGUAGUUUGAUGGGGUCGUUAAAGGAAGAGAGAGAUGGAAGUUUCAGGGACGAGCAGGACAGAGUACUGAAGAAAAGAAUAGUUUAUAUAUGGUCGUUAAUGGUGUUAGUGAUGGGGGGUUUAACUCUGGGAUGGUGGGAGUAUGAAUACCACCCCACAAACAGUCAACUCUGGAUGGUGCCCUUUGGUCUCAUUCUGCUUGUUACGCCACUCUUUGUCUGGUUCUCCAUCUUUGUUUCCGAUGCAUGUAGCUUAUCUGAGGUGGACAAGAUUCCAAUGGUGAGUCAGCCCGUUCGUCCAGUACCAGAUGACUCAGUUUGAUGCAAGAUCAAGCGCGCUGUUACCUACUGAUUGAGCAUCUUUUCCACAGUCGGUUUGUUUGUUGGAAUUACUUUUUCUUUUAUUUUAGAUUAAUCGAUUACAAAGUCAUGAUAACGAGUUCUACACUACAUGAAUGUUAUCAUACUCUCCAUCGAUCCUAUUUUGUAUUAAAACUAUCAAAUUUGGUAAGAACACAGACCCUUUACAA